rnacentral:sRNA from 1 species
GCUGGGCGCAGUAGUGCACACCUGUAAUCCUAGUGGCUUGGGAGGCUGAGGCAGGAGGAUCAAGUUCAAAGGCAGCCUCAGCAACAGCGAGGCCCUACACAACUGAGGGAGACCCUGUCUCUA